GCAACGCCGCGUGGAGGAUGACGCAUUUCGGUGUGUAAACUCCUUUUAUAAGGGAAGAUAAUGACGGUACCUUAUGAAUAAGCACCGGCUAACUCCGUGCCAGCAGCCGCGGUAAUACGGAGGGUGCAAGCGUUACUCGGAAUCACUGGGCGUAAAGGAUGCGUAGGCUGGAAAUCAAGUCGAGAGUGAAAUCCAACGGCUCAACCGUUGAACUGCUCUCGAAACUGGUUACCUAGAAUAUGGGAGAGGUAGAUGGAAUUGGUGGUGUAGGGGUAAAAUCCGUAGAUAUCACCAGGAAUACCGAUUGCGAAGGCGAUCUACUGGAACAUUAUUGACGCUGAGGCAUGAAAGCGUGGGGAGCAAACAGGAUUAGAUACCCUGGUAGUCCACGCCCUAAACGAUGCACACUAGUUGUUGCGAUGCUAGUCAUUGCAGUAAUGCACUUAACAGAUUAAGUGUGCCGCCUGGGGAGUACGGUCGCAAGAUUAAAACUCAAAGGAAUAGACGGGUACCCGCACAAGCGGUGGAGCAUGUGGUUUAAUUCGAAGAUACACGAAGAACCUUACCUGGCCUUGAUAUCCUAAGAAUCCUUUAGAGAUAAGGGAGUGCUAGUUUACUAGAACUUAGAGACAGGUGCUGCACGGCUGUCGUCAGCUCGUGUCGUGAGAUGUUGGGUUAAGUCCCGCAACGAGCGCAACCCUCGUGAUUAGUUGCUAACAGUUCGGCUGAGCACUCUAAUCAGACUGCCUUCGCAAGGAGGAGGAAGGUGAGGACGACGUCAGUCAUCAUGGCCCUUAUGGCCAGGGCUACACACGUGCUACAAUGGCUAGGACAAAGAGACGCGAUACUGCGAAGUGGAGCAAAUCUUAAAACCUAGUCUCAGUUCGGAUUGGAGUCUGCAACUCGACUCCAUGAAGCUGGAAUCGCUAGUAAUCGUAGAUCAGAUAUGCUACGG
rnacentral:rRNA from 1 species